ensembl:Y_RNA Y_RNA Y RNA
GGUUGGUCCGAUGGCAGUGGGAUUUCAAACGAAUGCUACAGUCAGUUACAGUUCUCCUGUUUCUCCCUACUCUCUCACUGUCGGCCUUGACUAGCCUUUU